rnacentral:rRNA from 1 species
GACGAACGCUGGCGGCGUGCUUAACACAUGCAAGUCGAACGGAAAGGCCCUGCUUUUGUGGGGUGCUCGAGUGGCGAACGGGCGAGUAACACGUGAGUAACCUGCCCUUGACUUUGGGAUAACUUCAGGAAACUGGGGCUAAUACCGGAUAGGAGCUCCUGCUGCACGGUGGGGGUUGGAAAGUUUCGGCGGUUGGGGAUGGACUCGCGGCUUAUCAGCUUGUUGGUGGGGUAGUGGCUUACCAAGGCUUUGACGGGUAGCCGGCCUGAGAGGGUGACCGGCCACAUUGGGACUGAGAUACGGCCCAGACUCCUACGGGAGGCAGCAGUGGGGAAUAUUGCACAAUGGGCGGAAGCCUGAUGCAGCAACGCCGCGUGCGGGAUGACGGCCUUCGGGUUGUAAACCGCUUUCGCCUGUGACGAAGCGUGAGUGACGGUAAUGGGUAAAGAAGCACCGGCUAACUACGUG